rnacentral:rRNA from 1 species
AGAGUUUGAUCCUGGCUCAGAACGAACGCUGGCGGCAUGCCUAACACAUGCAAGUCGAACGAAGCCUUCGGGCUUAGUGGCGCACGGGUGCGUAACGCGUGGGAACCUGCCUUUAGGUUCGGAAUAACUCAGAGAAAUUUGAGCUAAUACCGGAUAAUGUCUUCGGACCAAAGAUUUAUCGCCUUUAGAUGGGCCCGCGUUAGAUUAGAUAGUUGGUGGGGUAAUGGCCUACCAAGUCGACGAUCUAUAGCUGGUCUGAGAGGAUGAUCAGCCACACUGGGACUGAGACACGGCCCAGACUCCUACGGGAGGCAGCAGUGGGGAAUAUUGGACAAUGGGCGAAAGCCUGAUCCAGCAAUGCCGCGUGAGUGAUGAAGGCCUUAGGGUUGUAAAGCUCUUUUACCCGGGAUGAUAAUGACAGUACCGGGAGAAUAAGCUCCGGCUAACUCCGUGCCAGCAGCCGCGGUAAUACGGAGGGAGCUAGCGUUGUUCGGAAUUACUGGGCGUAAAGCGCGCGUAGGCGGCUAUUUAAGUCAGGGGUGAAAUCCCGGGGCUCAACCCCGGAACUGCCCUUGAAACUGGAUAGCUAGAAUCCUGGAGAGGCGAGUGGAAUUCCGAGUGUAGAGGUGAAAUUCGUAGAUAUUCGGAAGAACACCAGUGGC